rnacentral:rRNA from 1 species
CUGGUUGAUCCUGCCAGAGGUCACUGCUAUCGGGGUUCGAUUAAGCCAUGCGAGUCGAGAGGGUUCAGACCCUCGGCGGACUGCUCAGUAACACGUGGAUAACCUGCCCUGAGGUGGAGCAUAACCCCGGGAAACUGGGGAUAAUACUCCAUAGGUUAGAGAUACUGGAAUGUUCUUUAAUCGAAAGUUCCGGCGCCUUAGGAUGGAUCUGCGGCCGAUUAGGUAGUUGUUGGGGUAACGGCCCAACAAGCCUGUAAUCGGUACGGGUUGUGGGAGCAAGAGCCCGGAGAUGGAAUCUGAGACACGAUUCCAGGCCCUACGGGGCGCAGCAGGCGCGAAAACUUUACAAUGCAGGAAACUGUGAUAAGGGAACCCCGAGUGCCCGUAUACGCGGGCUGUCCGGGUGUAUAAAAAGCAUCUGAAGAAAGGGCCGGGCAAGACCGGUGCCAGCCGCCGCGGUAAUACCGGCGGCUCGAGUGGUGACCACUUCUAUUGGGCUUAAAGCGUUCGUAGCUGGACUCUUAAGUCUCUUGGGAAAUCCCGCGGCUCAACCGUGGGGCGUUUAAGAGAUACUGGGAGUCUAGGAACCGGGAGAGGUAAGAGGUACUUCGGGGGUAGAAGUGAAAUUCUGUAAUCCUCGAGGGACCACCGAUGGCGAAGGCAUCUUACCAGAACGGCUUCGACAGUGAGGAACGAAAGCUGGGGGAGCGAACGGGAUUAGAUACCCCGGUAGUCCCAGCCGUAAACGAUGCGCGUUAGGUGUACUGGUGACCACGAGUCACUGGGGUGCCGAAGGGAAACCGUGAAACGUGCCGCCUGGGAAGUACGGUCGCAAGGCUGAAACUUAAAGGAAUUGGCGGGGGAGCACCAC